rnacentral:rRNA from 1 species
UACAUAGGGUGCAAGCGUUAAUCGGAAUUACUGGGCGUAAAGCGUGCGCAGGCGGUUUUGUAAGUCUGAUGUGAAAUCCCCGGGCUCAACCUGGGAAUUGCAUUGGAGACUGCAAGGCUAGAAUCUGGCAGAGGGGGGUAGAAUUCCACGUGUAGCAGUGAAAUGCGUAGAGAUGUGGAGGAACACCGAUGGCGAAGGCAGCCCCCUGGGUCAAGAUUGACGCUCAUGCACGAAAGCGUGGGGAGCAAACAGG